rnacentral:rRNA from 1 species
UGGAAGGGAUGUAUUUAUUAGAUAAAAAACCAAUGCCCUUCGGGGCUUUUUGGUGAUUCAUGAUAACUUUACGGAUCGCAUAGCCUUGCGCUGGCGACGGUUCAUUCAAAUUUCUGCCCUAUCAACUUUCGAUGGUAAGGUAUUGGCUUACCAUGGUUUCAACGGGUAACGGGGAAUUAGGGUUCGAUUCCGGAGAGGGAGCCUGAGAAACGGCUACCACAUCCAAGGAAGGCAGCAGGCGCGCAAAUUACCCAAUCCCGACACGGGGAGGUAGUGACAAUAAAUACUGAUACAGGGCUCUUUUGGGUCUUGUAAUUGGAAUGAGUACAAUUUAAACCUCUUAACGAGGAACAAUUGGAGGGCAAGUCUGGUGCCAGCAGCCGCGGUAAUUCCAGCUCCAAUAGCGUAUAUUAAAGUUGUUGCAGUUAAAAAGCUCGUAGUUGAAACUUGGGCCUGGCUGGCGGGUCCGCCUCACCGCGUGCACUCGUCCGGCCGGGCCUUCCUUCUGAAGAACCUCAUGCCCUUCACUGGGCGUGCUGGGGAACCAGGACUUUUAC